rnacentral:lncRNA from 1 species
UUAAGAUUGUCCCUUUAUUUGGUCUCACUAUUUAUCUUUAAUCUUAUUGAAUCCGUUGGUUCCUCAUUAUUAUUAAUGUACCCAUAACUUUCUUGUUGUUGUAAUCUUUUUGUUUAUGUGUUGACAUAGUGAAACCGUGCGGGGCCUCUUUGAUUCACUAUAGUCCUUGUAAUCUUGUAUUCUCUAUCUACUUUGUUGAAUAUUAUUGUUGUUGCCUUGAAAAUAUAGAGAAGCCGAGUGGGGCCUUUGAUUCUCUAUUGAGGUUGAUCUUGUAGAUCUCUUGAAUCCGUGUUGUGUGUUCGAUCUUGUAUCAUUUGGUAUCAAAGC